GUCGAUGCCCUGGUGGGGGCUGAAUCUUCCUCUCUAGAUGAAGAACCGCAGCACAUCACCAGACCUAAAUCAAAGGAGGAAAGCCGGAGCACCCUCUGUUUGGCGAAAGCGUACCCCAAAUUCCCACUAAGCAUCUUGGAAUACAUCACCGAAUAUUGGCAGCACCUCAAGGGCUCCUGUGGUCUGAGGAAAAGGAUCGAAAAUCAAAGAUCCAAAGUGGGUAGAAUCAUGGCCUUCCUCUCGUUUAUAACUGAAGGGCAGACAAUCCUCCAAAAUUGGACUUUCCUUCCAAAUAUGUCCAGGACAUACCAGUGGCCAGAACAUCUGUUAAAUGAGGCAAAGGCUGAGAACACAGUGAAAACCUACCUGGUGAAUUUGUCCCAGUUCCUGACCUACUUCAGGGAUUGCAAACCUUGGCCCAGAUGUGGUCAUCCGUCAGAUAAGUGUCAAGAAAAAGAAGUUGAGCAGGACCAUCUCCAAGGACCAACUUCACCUCUGCAAAGUCCUGGCCAGGAGACGCAUCCCUGAACUUCUUGAUCAACUGUCUGAGGACCCCAACCCGGAGGCACGCAGGAGAUUCUUCGGGUACCUCAGUGUUUAUCUAGCAAGCCUCUAUGGACACCGGACCGGUGUUCUAAAGAACAUGACUGUGGCAGAGGUUGACGAGGCUCAGCAGGAAGCCACAGUCGGGCAAGUGGGCUUUGUGAUCAAUGUAAGGAAACACAAAACCAACCGUGCGUUUGGCCCCGCACAGCUCUACUUAACUGUAGAGGACUUCUCAUGGGUGGAGAAGUGGAUGCUCA